AUUGUUGUGAUGAUAACCUAACUCAGCUCACUCAGAGUCUCGACGAUGCUGAUAACCUUCCUUUAUCCAACAUUCAUCAAAUAUCUGACACAAU
rnacentral:snoRNA from 1 species